AUGCAAAAUGCUAGAUCUUGUUUGCUGCUUGAUUUUGUUUGCCUGAUUUUGUCUAUUCCUGCUUCUCAGGCUUUUACCACAGAGAGAGGAACGAGAACUGAAGCAGCUCCAGCACCUGGGACCUGUUUAAGAAAAAGAGGAGAAGUGGAUGCAGGAUUUCAGAAGCAGAGCUCUACCUCCAGCUUCAGUUAUACAAGAAAAAGCAACAAAAGACACCGCCGACCCAAGCCUGGGCUGGCAACGUCUGGGACGCUGACCCCACAAAGCACCUGCAGAGGAGGGUGGCUCGAAGGGGGAGCCCAGCUUGCAGGUGCCAGGAGGCUUCUCGCAUGGUUAGGUAGAGGAACUGCAGGCUCCCCUCCCAUGACAAAGGGAGCAGGAGAAAGUGGAGCAAGAGGCUUUCCCUCAGCUUGUUCGUGGAAAGGCUUUGCCUGA
rnacentral:lncRNA from 1 species